GAAUAAUGUAAUAUUUAUUUAUUAAUAAAUUGCCAUCAUUGACUUAAUACAUGUAGAAACCUCAUUGAAUUUGAUAUGCACAUCUUUUUAAUUCUCACUGAAAUCUAACCAAUUAUUUAACAGGGAGAUAAUUCCGACUUGAAACACCCGAUUUCCCACGAUUUGAACAACACAACUAAUUUGGCUACAAUGCUACUGGGUACGAUUUAUUUAAUCUUAGAUCCUAAGAUCAUUUGAAGAUCAUCAAUUUUCUCUGCC
rnacentral:misc_RNA from 1 species